rnacentral:rRNA from 1 species
GACGAACGCUGGCGGCGUGCCUAAUACAUGCAAGUAGAACGCUGAAGGAGGAGCUUGCUUCUCUGGAUGAGUUGCGAACGGGUGAGUAACGCGUAGGUAACCUGCCUGGUAGCGGGGGAUAACUAUUGGAAACGAUAGCUAAUACCGCAUAAUAGUAGAUGUUGCAUGACAUUUGCUUAAAAGGUGCAAUUGCAUCACUACCAGAUGGACCUGCGUUGUAUUAGCGAGUUGGUGGGGUAACGGCUCACCAAGGCGACGAUACAUAGCCGACCUGAGAGGGUGAUCGGCCACCCUGGGACUGGGACCCGGCCCAGACUCCUUCGGGGGGCAGCCGUAGGGAAUCUUCGGACAUGGGCGGAAGUCUGACCGAGCCCCGCCGCGGGAGUGGAGGAGGUUUUCGGAUCGUAAAGCUCUGUUGUAAGAGAAGAACGAGUGUGAGAGUGGAAAGUUCACACUGUGACGGUAUCUUACCAGAAAGCGACGGCUAACUACGUG